rnacentral:rRNA from 1 species
AACGAACGCUGGCGGCGCGCUUAACACAUGCAAGUCGAACGAGAAGCCGUAGCAAUACGGUUGUAAAGUGGCAAACGGGUGAGUAACGCAUGGGUAACCUACCCUCAGGUGGGGAAUAACUCCCCGAAAGGGGAGCUAAUGCCGACGAUACCCAUCGGUCUCAUAAGAGGUCGCUGGAAAGCCGAAUCGAGGAUUCGGCGCCUAAGGAUGGGCUCAUGUCCUAUCAGCUUGUUGGCGGGGAACGGCCCACCAAGGCUNCGACGGGUAGCUGGUCUGAGAGGACGACCAGCCACACUGGCACUGCGACACGGGCCAGACUCCUACGGGAGGCAGCAGUGAGGAAUCUUGCGC